rnacentral:rRNA from 1 species
AGAAUCAACGCUGGCUGCGUGCCUAACACAUGCAAGUCGAACGCGAAAGUCCCGAAAGGGAUAAGUAGAGUGGCAAACGGGUGAGUAACACGUGGGUGACCUGCCUUCGAGCGGGGGAUAACGUCCCGAAAGGGACGCUAAUACCGCAUAACAUCCUGCCUUUUAAGAGGUGGAGAUCAAAGCCGGGGACCGCAAGGCCUGGCACUUGAAGAGGGGCCCGCGUCUGAUUAGCUAGUUGGUGGGGUAAUGGCCUACCAAGGCAACGAUC